rnacentral:rRNA from 1 species
UACGUAGGGCGCAAGCGUUGUCCGGAAUUAUUGGGCGUAAAGAGCUCGUAGGCGGUUUGUCGCGUCUGCUGUGAAAACCCGAGGCUCAACCUCGGGCCUGCAGUGGGUACGGGCAGACUAGAGUGCGGUAGGGGAGAUUGGAAUUCCUGGUGUAGCGGUGGAAUGCGCAGAUAUCAGGAGGAACACCAAUGGCGAAGGCAGAUCUCUGGCCGUAACUGACGCUGAGGAGCGAAAGCAUGGGGAGCGAACAGG